UUGCACAAUGGGCGCAAGCCUGAUGCAGCCAUGCCGCGUGUAUGAAGAAGGCCUUCGGGUUGUAAAGUACUUUCAGCGGGGAGGAAGGGAGUGAGGUUAAUAACCUUAUUCAUUGACGUUACCCGCAGAAGAAGCACCGGCUAACUCCGUGCCAGCAGCCGCGGUAAUACGGAGGGUGCAAGCGUUAAUCGGAAUUACUGGGCGUAAAGCGCACGCAGGCGGUCUGUCAAGUCGGAUGUGAAAUCCCCGGGCUCAACCUGGGAACUGCAUUCGAAACUGGCAGGCUGGAGUCUUGUAGAGGGGGGUAGAAUUCCAGGUGUAGCGGUGAAAUGCGUAGAGAUCUGGAGGAAUACCGGUGGCGAAGGCGGCCCCCUGGACAAAGACUGACGCUCAGGUGCGAAAGCGUGGGGAGCAAACAGGAUUAGAUAGGGGGGGU
rnacentral:rRNA from 1 species